AAUCUUCGGCAAUGGACGAAAGUCUGACCGAGCAAUGCCGCGUGAGUGAAGAAGGGCUUCGGAUUGUAAAACUCGGUUAUUAGGGAAGAAAGGUAUAUGGAGGGAAUGCCAUAUAAUUGACGGUACCUAAUGAGCAAGCCACGGCUAACUACGUGCCAUCAGCCGCGGUAAUACUGAGGUGGCGAGCGUUGUCCGGAAUUAUUGGGCGUAAAGCGUGCGUAGGCGGUCUAUUAAGUCUUAUUUGAAAGACCAUGGCUUAACCAUGGAGGGUGAUUGGAAACUGGUAGACUUGAGUACAGGAGAGGAAGGUGGAAUUCCACGUGUAGCGGUGAAAUGCGUAGAUAUGUGGAGGAACACCAGUGGCGAAGGCGGCCUUCUGGCCUGAAACUGACGCUGAUGCACGAAAGCGUGGGUAGCAAACA
rnacentral:rRNA from 1 species